rnacentral:rRNA from 1 species
GUGAGGAAUCUUCCACAAUGGGCGAAAGCCUGAUGGAGCAACGCCGCGUGCAGGAUGAAGGCCUUCGGGUCGUAAACUGCUUUUAUAAGUGAAGAAUAUGACGGUAACUUAUGAAUAAGCACCGGCUAACUACGUGCCAGCAGCCGCGGUCAUACGUAGGGUGCAAGCAUUAUCCGGAGUGACUGGGCGUAAAUAGUUGCGUAGGUGGUUUGUUAAGUAGGUAGUGAAAUCUGGCGGCUCAACAGUACAGGCUAGUACCUAAACUGGCAAACUCGAGAAUGGUAGAGGUAACUGGAAUUUCUUGUGUAGGAGUGAAAUCCGUAGAUAUAAGAAGGAACACCAAUGGCGUAGGCAGGUUACUGGACCAUUUCUGACACUGAGGCACGAAAGCGUGGGGAGCGAACGGGAUUAGAUACCCGAGUAGUCC